rnacentral:rRNA from 1 species
GCAAUACGGGAGCGGCAGACGGGUGAGUAACACGUGGGAACGUACCCUUCGGUUCGGAAUAACCCAGGGAAACUUGGAUUAAUACCGGAUACGUCCGAAAGGAGAAAGAUUUAUCGCCGAAGGAUCGGCCCGCGUCCGAUUAGCUUGUUGGUGGGGUAAUGGCCCACCAAGGCUACGAUCGGUAGCUGGUCUGAGAGGAUGAUCAGCCACACUGGGACUGAGACACGGCCCAGACUCCUACGGGAGGCAGCAGUGGGGAAUAUUGGACAAUGGGCGCAAGCCUGAUCCAGCCAUGCCGCGUGGGUGAUGAAGGCCCUAGGG